GGCCUUGCGGCAGCUUACCAUGCAGUCGAACGGCAGCAGCGAGAGAGCUUGCUCUCUUGGCGGCGAGUGGCGGACGGGUGAGUAAUAUAUCGGAACGUGCCCAGUAGCGGGGGAUAACUACUCGAAAGAGUGGCUAAUACCGCAUACGCCCUACGGGGGAAAGGGGGGGAUCGCAAGACCUCUCGCUAUUGGAUCGGCCGAUAUCGGAUUAGCUAGUUGGUGGGGUAAAGGCUCACCAAGGCAACGAUCCGUAGCUGGUUUGAGAGGACGACCAGCCACACUGGGACUGAGACACGGCCCAGACUCCUACGGGAGGCAGCAGUGGGGAAUUUUGGACAAUGGGGGAAACCCUGAUCCAGCCAUCCCGCGUGUAUGAUGAAGGCCUUCGGGUUGUAAAGUACUUUUGGCAGAGAAGAAAAGGUAUCCCCUAAUACGGGAUACUGCUGACGGUAUCUGCAGAAUAAGCACCGGCUAACUACGUGCCAGCAGCCGCGGUAAUACGUAGGGUGCAAGCGUUAAUCGGAAUUACUGGGCGUAAAGCGCGUGUAGGCGGUUCGGAAAGAAAGAUGUGAAAUCCCAGGGCUCAACCUUGGAACUGCAUUUUUAACUGCCGAGCUAGAGUAUGUCAGAGGGGGGUAGAAUUCCACGUGUAGCAGUGAUAUGCGUAGAUAUGUGGAGGAAUACCGAUGGCGAAGGCAGCCCCCUGGGAUAAUACUGACGCUCAGACACGAAAGCGUGGGGAGCAAACAGGAUUAUAUACCCUGGUAGUCCACGCCCUAAACGAUGUCUACUAGCUGGUGGGGCCGUUAGGGCCGUAGUAUCGCAGCUAUACGCGUGAAGUGAACCGCCUGGGGGAAGUACGGUCGCAAGAGUUAAAACUCAAAGGAAUUGAGCGGGGAGCCGCACAAGCGGGGGAUGAUUGGGAUUAAUUCGAUGCAACGCGAAAAACUUACCUACCUUGACAUCGUCCUGGAAGCCGAAUAAAAUUGGCUGGCUCCUCAGAAACGGAAACAGGGGCUGCUGGCUGGUC
rnacentral:rRNA from 1 species